AAAUCACCUCCAGGUCACUAGGCUGAAAACCGCUGUCAUUUCUCCUGGAACAAAUAUUCUCUACCUUACUCUAGCACCACAUUAUUAAAUGGAGAUAACAAUAUUUAUGCCCUUCCCAAGGGGUAACAGGGAUGGACAGCUCUCCUGGGUUGGGCCUGCUUGGAUGAGGAAGUGACAAGCAGUGGGGAAACAGGGAUUUAUGUGUGAGCGAACAGCAGGCAGCUGUCUCCUCGGCAGCGGCUGCCACCGGGAACUACAAGGCAACGUGAAGCCUGUGCUAGAAAAACCCCUCCUGGGCCGGUCCUGCAAGCAGCCAAGAUGCGGUUAAAGAUUCCAAUUCUGAUGGGAUCCCAUGUCUCCUAGGUUACAGCUGAGGACUGUGUUUUCCUUUAUUACAACAGAAAAUGUGUGUUCCCCAGGGACUGUUCAAACAUCUGUAUGAGAGCACUGUCCUGGGCACAGAAAGGAAUACAAAAGGAUAUAACACACAGAUUCUGGCUUUAAGGAUGUGAUGAUGAAAAUGGAGAAACCCACCAAAGGCAUGUGAAGUGCUGAUGGAAAGUAGCAGCAGAUACCUGUACCUGGCUUAGAGAUGAAGAGGAGAGUUCAUUCUGGGCUUGCCUGUUUCCAUCUGUUAUGUUCCAGCUGACUGAAUUUGGGCCCAUCAUUUUACCUCUCUGUGGUUCAGUUUCUUCAUCCAGAAAGUGAGGCAAAUAAACUGGAGCAUGUCUAAUCAUCUAUGACUCUGAGUACAGCCAGAAGUGCUACCAGAAUUCAAAAUAAUGAUAAUGCCUAAUACGGAAUGAGUUGGGGCAAGUACUGGUUUAAAACUUUGUGAUUCAUUUAUUCUUCAUUUCAACCCUGAGAGGUUCUGGCAUCAUUUCCAUUUUAUAGAUGGGAAACUGAGGCACAGAAAAAUUUUAAAUUACUUUCUUAAGAUCAUACAGCUAACAAGUAGCAAAGCUGGGAUUUAAACCUGUACUCUUAACAAUAUGCUAUAUGCGGCCGGGCGCGGUGGCUCACGCCUGUAAUCCCAGCACUUUGGGAGGCCGAGACGGGCGGAUCACAAGGUCAGGAAAUCGAGACCAUCCUGGCUAACACGGUGAAACCCCGUCUCUACUAAAAAUACAAAAAUUAG
rnacentral:lncRNA from 1 species